ACAGAGGGUGCAAGCGUUAUUCGGAAUUAUUGGGCGUAAAGGGCGCGUAGGCGGUUUCUUAAGUGAGAUGUGAAAUCCCCGGGCUUAACCUGGGAACUGCAUCUCAUACUGGGGGGCUAGAGUACUGGAGAGGGUGGUGGAAUUCCACGUGUAGCGGUGAAAUGCAUAGAUAUGUGGCGGAAGACCAAUGGCGAAGGCGGCUACCUGGACAGUAACUGACGCUGAUGCGCGAAAGUGUGGGGAGCAAACAG
rnacentral:rRNA from 1 species